CUAGCCGUAAACGAUGUCAACUUGGCGUUGGCGGAGUCAAAUCUGCCAGUGCCGCAGCUAACGCGAUAAGUUGACCGCCUGAGGACUACGGCCGCAAGGUUAAAACUCAAAAGAAUUGACGGGGGCCCGCACAAGCAGCGGAGCGUGUGGUUUAAUUCGAUGCUACACGAAGAACCUUACCAGGGUUUGACAUGCAAGUGGUAGGAAACUGAAAAGGGACCGACCCUUCGGGGAGCUUGCACAGGUGC
rnacentral:rRNA from 1 species